CACGGGUGAAAAAAAUUGUUCGUGGCAUUUUUAUGACAAUGUUCUCAGAUAAAAGAACCUGGUAUUCUGAAACAGGAGGGAAAAAAAGAUAAAAUAAAGAUCCCAGGGAAAGAUCUGAGGGGAAAGGCAAUGGCCGUGGGCAAGAUGUGCCGAGGAGGGAGUUUGGCCACCAGCCACGCAGGACAGAGUGCCCAGGACAGGGUCACUCCUCUCCAGGGCUGAGCCAGCUCCUAUAAUGAGCUACAAACUUUUGCCUAGUUGGACCUUUGCAUCAUUUGCAUGUUAGGUGUAAGGAGAGGCAGGAACUGCCAAAAGCGGAGCUGCUCAAAGGCCAGGAGGAGAUAAGAGACACUGCCCUGCUUAACAAAGAGACAUUUCCAGACCUGAGGAAGUGAGGCAAUCCUGGCUAAUUAAGAUGACUGACCAAAGUCUCCCAGGAGGAAGAAAGAAGGUGAAAGAUGAAAAUCUUUGUGUUUCGAAGGGUGACAGGAACCGUGGGUCUUCCUCCGUGUGCCCCGGGGAAAGAGUGAUGAAGUCACAGAAGCCCAGAAUCCCCGAGGCUGGAACAGCUCUGAGGGAUCAUCGAGUCCAAGCUGUGCCCAAUGCCCACCUCGUCCCCAGCCACCUCCAGUCCUUCCUUGGACACCUCCAGGGAUGGACACUCCAAACCUCCCUGGGCAGCUCCUUCUAAUGCCCGAGCACCCUUUCCAUGGAGAAAUCUUUCCUCAGAGUCCAGGGGCAGAGCUCAGUGAGGCUGUGCCCCCUGCCCACCUCUGGCCAGGACCCCCUGUCCUGCUUUGCGUCUCUAAGCCCAGGUGAUUUUCCUGAAGAGAAAGGAGAGCUGGGACAGUGGCACAGCCCUUGAGAAACUCUGGCUCUGUGCAAACACCUUUGAAACCCAGAACUUCUUUUCCAUCCCGAAUUUGCAGCAGCCUGGAGGGAUUUAACCCCUUGUUUUGCUGCUCCAUCUCAAUGCCACGUGCAGGCAGGAGAGGGAGAAUGUGGGGAGAGAAUCUGAUUCACUGUGCAAAGCCCCAGUUGGGAGAAGGAGUUUGAUUUACCAAGGCCAGAGGUAGUAAAGAGCUUGGACAGGAAUUUGUGCUAAACCUUUGACACACAAGACAUUUCCCUUUCAGGCCAAGACAAACAAAGGAAGGAAGUGUCUGGGACUUUUAAAGCGACCUAGUGGAGACAGGUAAGGGCAGAUAAGGGCUGAAGGAAGAGUGGGCUGGACAAGGGAAGUAUCCAGUUGUACAGAUUUGUUGGAAUCGUGAGUGCUCUGCAAAUCAGGCUGAGGGAAGGCAAAACCACCUGGGGAAGGGCUCUUUGCAAAGGGAGAAAGAGGCUGAACAUCCCCGAAGUGCUGAGCACGGCCUUUCUAUUCACUCCCUGCUGUUUUUCCACUCGCUUUGCUAAGUUCUCUGUGCCUGAGGCUGGCAGGGUUUCUAGGCUCAUUAGCUGCUCACCAGCAGGCUCUGCAGAAUCUCCUGUCAGACCUUUCAAUUUCUCAGCAUCAUCCUGGGUGUAAAAGAGUCUUUGCCCCUUUCCUGCACUCGGGUCCUGUAAUAAAAAAAAAAAGCAGCUGGAGCUGUUCCUGUGAAAGGGAGAAUAACACCCUGUGGUGGAGAGAUGGAAACAAUCCCACAUGAUAAAAAAGCUCUUCACUGAUGCUGUUCUCUGUCCCCACACCACCUGUACGGGGGACACAAGGGUUCUCCUGUUUCCAGGGCUGGGAAUGGGAGCAGCAAGGAGCCUUCUGUGGGGCAGCAGUCAGGAGUGGCUCCCCUCUGGCUGUGGCACCUCUGGCUGACUCUGCGAGGAAGCCAGGCCUGUCCCCAGCCUGGUAAGCAAUGCUCUUUCCUGGUACAACAUCCCUGAUCCCUCAUGCCUGUAGAACAGGAUUGCUACAACAUCGUCCCAGCUGACAGAUUUAAAAUACCAGGCUUAACCUUGCCUGUACAGGGUUAAUUUCCCUCUCAGGAUUUUGGUUUCUCUCUGGAGUCAUCUGUUUGGUGACUCCACAGGUUCCCUCAGUGAAUCCCUCUGGGAACAUUUUGCUCUUUGACCUCAAAUCUUUCCCUUCUCCACUAAAUUGCUCCAGUUUGUUUUUAACCCUUUAUUCCUCGUGGAAGAUACAAGACAGUGAGAUUAGUGAGGAGGCCCUGUGGGAUUCCCAGAAGGGAUGGAGGAGGAUAAUUGGCGAGACCCCAGGGCCAGAAGGAGCAGGGGGGGUUCUCAGUGCUGUCCCCACAGCCACAGAGUCACUGACCCCACUCCUUGGCCUUAUCUCGUGGUGAGUUUUGCAUUCUGAGUCAUUGAACAAACACAAGUACUGCUCUCCCUGGCCAGGACUCCCAGGGCCCAGAGCAAGGCUUGGAUGAGGUUCCUCCACACGCCAAGACCAUGAAAAACAAAGCUGCUGCUGCUUUCUGGGUUAUUUAUGCACAAAUAAACCUUUCCUACCCAGAGGGGUCAAGGUUAUGAAUCCAUAACUCUCCUUUCCUAUGGGGACUUUGUUUGUGACUCAUUCCUGGC
ensembl:lncRNA